rnacentral:lncRNA from 1 species
ACGGAGUAUGAAAAUUGAUUUGGUUUGGUGAUGCGCCUCUAUUUGGCCCAUCUGGUUAGGUAUGGACGUACUGUGUGCAUGGUAGCCCACUGCUGGAAGGCACCAAACCUGGUUUCUGAAUUAUGAAACAAGGCCUGGAGGACGGCCUGCUGGAGAUGUUGUGCCAUUCUCCAGGCCGAGAUGUUGUGCCUGUAUGUGAAAUUAUUCUUUGAGUCUAUAUUUGGAUAGACUGAUCGUUGUUUACUUCAAAUUUUCUUUCCAUUCUGUACAGUUUGCAUGGCUAAAUGCCAUGUAGACAUGGCAAUUCAGGCAGUGCAAUGUUCA